rnacentral:rRNA from 1 species
UACGUAGGGCGCAAGCGUUGUCCGGAAUUAUUGGGCGUAAAGAGCUCGUAGGCGGCGUGUCGCGUCGGUUGUGAAAGCCCGGGGCUUAACUCCGGGUCUGCAGUCGAUACGGGCAUGCUUGAGUUCGGUAGGGGAGAUCGGAAUUCCUGGUGUAGCGGUGAAAGUGCGCAGAUAUCAGGAGGAACACCGAUGGCGAAGGCAGGUCUCUGGGCCGAUACUGACGUGAGGAGCGAAAGCGUGGGGAGCGAACAGG